UCCCCGAUGGCUCAGACAGUAAAGUGUCUGCCUGCAAUGCGGGAGACCCGGGUUCGAUUCCUGGGUUGGGAA
rnacentral:tRNA from 1 species